AGCGAACGCUGGCGGCAGGCCAAACACAUGCAAGUCGAGCGGCCGUAGCAAUACGGCAGCGGCAGACGGGAGAGUAACACGUGGGAACGCGCCCUUCGGUUCGGGAUAACCCAGGGAAACUUGGGCUAAUACCGGAUACGCCCUUACGGGGAAAGAUUUAUUGCCGAAGGAACGGCCCGCGUCUGAUUAGCUAGUUGGUGAGGUAAUGGCUCACCAAGGCGACGAUCGGUAGCUGGUCUGAGAGGAUGACCAGCCUCACUGGGACUGAGACACGGCCCAGACUCCUACGGGAGGCAGCAGUGGGGAAUAUUGGACAAUGGGCGCAAGCCUGAUCCAGCCAUGCCGCAUGGGUGAUGAAGGCCCUAGGGUUGUAAAGCCCUUUCAGCGGGGAAGAUAAUGACGGUACCCGCAGAAGAAGCCCCGGCUAACUUCGUGCCAGCCGCCGCAGUAACAC
rnacentral:rRNA from 1 species